rnacentral:rRNA from 1 species
UUUAUUAGAUUAAAAACCAAUGCCCUUCGGGGCUCUCUGGUGAUUCAUGAUAACUUCUCGAAUCGCAUGGCCUUGUGCCGGCGAUGGUUCAUUCAAAUUUCUUCCCUAUCAACUUUCGAUGUUUGGGUAUUGGCCAAACAUGGUUGCAACGGGUAACGGAGGGUUAGGGCUCGACCCCGGUAGAAGGAGCCUGAGAAACGGCUACUACAUCCAAGGAAGGCAGCAGGCGCGCAAAUUACCCAAUCCCGACACGGGGAGGUAGUGACAAUAAAUACUGAUACAGGGCUCUUUUGGGUCUUGUAAUUGGAAUGAGUACAAUUUAAAUCCCUUAACGAGGAACAAUUGGAGGGCAAGUCUGGUGCCAGCAGCCGCGGUAAUUCCAGCUCCAAUAGCGUAUAUUAAAGUUGUUGUGGUUAAAAAGCUCGUACUUGAACCUUGGGCCUGGCUGGCCGGUCCGCCUCACCGCGUGUACUGGUCCGGCCGGGCCUUUCCCUCUGUGGAACCCCAUGCCCUUCACUGGCUGUGGCGGGGAAACAGGACUUUUACUUUGAAAAAAUUAGAGUGCUCCAGGCAGGCCUAUGCUCGAAUACAUUAGCAUGGAAUAAUAGAAUAGGACGUGUGGUUCUAUUUUGUUGGUUUCUAGGACCGCCGUAAUGAUUAAUAGGGACAGUCAGGGGCAUCAGUAUUCAAUUGUCAGAGGUGAAAUUCUUGGAUUUAUUGAAGACUAACUACUGCGAAAGCAUUUGCCAAGGAUGUUUUCAUUAAUCAGGAACGAAAGUUAGGGGAUCGAACACGAUCAGAUACCGUCGUAGUCUUAACCAUAAACUAUGCCGACUAGGGAUCGGACGAUGUUAUUU